rnacentral:rRNA from 1 species
UACGUAGGGGGCAAGCGUUGUUCGGAAUUACUGGGCGUAAAGAGUGUGUAGGCGGUGCUCUAAGUUCGGUGUGAAAUCUCCUGGCUCAACUGGGAGGGUGCGCCGGAAACUGGAAGUGCUUGAGCGUGGGAGAGGAAAGCGGAAUUCCUGGUGUAGCGGUGAAAUGCGUAGAUAUCAGGAGGAACACCUGUGGUGUAGACGGCUUUCUGGACCAUAGCUGACGCUGAGACACGAAAGCGUGGGUAGCAAACAGG